rnacentral:rRNA from 1 species
CGGGACGGGUGAGUAACGCGUGGAUAACCUGCCCCAUACCGGGGGAUAACAGCCGGAAACGGCUGCUAAUACCGCAUAAGCGCACGAGGCUGCAUGGCCUUGUGUGAAAAACUCCGGUGGUAUGGGAUGGAUCCGCGUCUGAUUAGCUAGUUGGUGAGAUAAAAGCCCACCAAGGCGACGAUCAGUAGCCGACCUGAGAGGGUGGCCGGCCACAUUGGGACUGAGACACGGCCCAGACUCCUACGGAAGGCAGCAG